rnacentral:rRNA from 1 species
AAUCUUCCACAAUGGGCGGUAGCCUGCUGUUGCUACGCUGCGUUAGGGAUGAAGGUUUUCGGAUCGUAAAACUCUUGUGUAAGGGAAGAACAAGUACAGUUGUAACUGGCUGUACCUUGACGGUACCUUAUUAUAAAGCCACGGCUAACUACUUGCCAGCAGCCGCGGUAAUACGUAGGUGGCAAGGUUUGUCCGGAAUUAUUGGGCGUAAAGCGCGCGCAGGCGGUCCUUUAAGUCUGAUGUGAAAGCCCACGGCGCAACCGUGGAGGGUCAUUGGAAACUGGGGGACUUGAGUGCAGAAGAGGAAAGUGGAAUUCCAAGUGUAGCGGUGAAAUGCGUAGAGAUUUGGAGGAACAACAGUGGCGAAGGCGACUUUCUGGUCUGUAACUGACGCUGAGGCGCGAAAGCGUGGGGAGCAAACA